rnacentral:misc_RNA from 1 species
CGUAAGCCAUCCGAUUCGCAUUCGACCGACGUCUUGGUUUAAAGAAUCUCGGGGACAAGACCUUUGAUGAUGACUUGACUUCUGCCGACUGACUGGACUGAGCCGCGGCUACCAGCAGGGUACACGAAACGAUAUCACCGGGCGAAGCGGGAUAAACGUGAGUGAUUUGCUCCGGUUUGUCGUUGUGCAUCGGGAGUUGCUUGACAAUCCCAGGUGACAAAACGUCGAAGAAGAGAGAGAACAGGGGAGGAGAGACGCAAAACGGACAUCCCCUUAGAUUAGUUUAUCCGAACAAGCCACAAAGUUCGCGACAGUUCGAAGGAGCCGCCAAGUUAUCGGAUUCCUCGACUUGAGAUGAAGCGACAACAGUCCCAGGAACAACAGAGGCAGCUGCAGCAGCAGCAGCAGCAGCAGCAGCGGCAACAGACCGUCAUGCAGGAACAACAGCAACAACAGUACAUGCAGCAACGGACGGAAAGACAAGUUACGCGGCAACAGAUCACCAGUCAGCAGAGAGUUCAAGGGGAGAUCGUGAUGCAAACGUCACCAAUGGUACCAGUAUUCACCGGUAAACCCGGCGAUCCCUCGCCGCCCAUUUUCGAACGAAUCUUCAAAAAUGCGCGAUUCGCGCAGGGCGGCAAUGCGAUUUUCGAAGGCUGCGUGCGGGGCAAUCCCAAGCCGACGGUCUCUUGGACGCACAAGAAUACGCCGUUAUUGGAGUCACGAAAAAUUCGAAUGUCGUAUGACGACAAUACUGGAGUCGUCACCCUCCAAAUUAAUCAGAUCGGUCCAGGAGACGAGGGCGAGUACACGUGCAGCGCGAAGAACCAAUAUGGCGAAGCGAUCUGCUCCGUUUACAUACAACCCGAGGGAUUCGGUCUUCCGGCGCAACAGUUGGCAGACAGUUACAAGAAGGAGUUUACGCAAAGCUUCCAGUCGACCGAACAGAAGAUGCAGACCGGAGGUCAAGUCUUCCAGCAACGAAGCUACCAGCAAACGGUAGAUAAAAGAAGCUACAUGAAUGGUACAUCGAUGAGCAUCGAAGACUUUAAGGUCGACACCUUCGAAUACAGACUGUUGCGCGAAACGGAGUUCCGCGAGUCGAUCACUCGCCGCUUCGUCGGCGAGUCCGACUUGCAAAUUUCCACGACAGUCGAACGCGCCCUAGGUCCGGUAGCACCUCCGCAGAUCACGCAGAAACCCAGAAACUCGAAACUCGUCGAAGGAUCGGACGCUGUGUUCACCGCGAAGAUAACCGGCAAUCCUAAACCGAGGUUAACGUGGUUCAAGAACGGCCAGCGGAUCAAAGACUCUCAACGUGUGGAGACGAGCUAUUCGAAUCAGCAGGCUACCUUGCGAAUCCGAGGGGCUCUGUCGGAAGACAGCGGCCAUUACACCUUAUUGUCCGAGAACCCUCAAGGCUGCACUGUCAGCUCCGCUUACCUAGCGAUUGAGCCGAGCGAUCAGGUGGAUCAAGUCCCGUAUCAAGCGCAUCAGAGGGAAUUCAUUCAGACUCAACAAGUAGAAUCGACCACCGAGUCCACCGACUCUGGAAAAGCAUUGCCGCCAAAUUUCGUUCGCACCUGUACGGAUAGGGAAGCUACCGAGGGCAAGAUGACCAGAUUCGACUGUCGCGUAACCGGCCGCCCGUAUCCCGAGGUGACUUGGUACAUAAACGGCCAACAAGUCGCCAACGACAUGACACACAAGAUCCUCGUGAACGAGUCCGGCAACAACUCGCUGAUGAUCACAAACGUGAGUCGCGUCGAUGCCGGUGUCGUGACGUGCAUCGCUCGCAACAAGGCCGGUGAAACCUCAUGUCAAUGUAACCUGAGCGUCCUCGAGAAGGAGCAAGUGGUCGCGCCGAAAUUCGUCGAGCGCUUCGUCACCACGAGCGUGAAGGAAGGAGAACCCGUGGUCUUCACGGCGCGCGCAGUCGGCACGCCGAUUCCGCGUAUCACAUGGCAAAAGGACGGCGUGCCGAUAACCCCCGGCCCUGACGUACGCAUAUCGAGCGACGGUAGCGGAGCUGCGACUUUGGAUAUCCCUCGCGCCAAAUUCUCUGAUGCAGCCUGGUACCAGUGCACCGCGCAAAACGUAGCCGGCUCCACCGCGACCCGAGCGCGGCUCUUUAUCGAGACACCGAAAGGCACGGCCCCGGAACCAAGACGCCUGAAUUUACCCCGACCGACGAAAAUCAUCGAACCAGAACCAGCGCCUGGCCCCGAAGUGAUUUACUUGAGACACGUGGAGCGCGCGAAACCCUACUUGCCGCCAUCCGAGGAAGAUAAGAUUUACCCGCCGCCACGUUUCAUCAUACCGCUAAGGGACGUCCAUCAGAUCGAAGGUGGACGAAUUCACUUCGAGGCCAGAAUCGAACCGGUGGGCGACCCUACCAUGAGGGUGGAGUGGUACGUCAACGGCAGAGCACUCGACGCGAGUUCCCGAGCAACAUCCAUCUUUCGCUUUGGCUUUAUCUCGCUCGAUCUCAUUAGUAUCGUUCUUCAAGAUAGCGGCGAAUACUUGUGCCGCGUCGUAAGCUCGACCGGAGUCGCCGAGUCUCGCGCCACCCUCAGCGUGACCCCACGCGCUACGAUUGAACAAGCGAGCCAACACCCCGACAGUCUCCAGUAUAUUCAACAGCUCGAGGAUUACAGCAAGUACCAAAGGCAGGAGAGCGUGGAGGAGACCUCUUCACAGCGGCCGGUUUUCAUCCGCCCGCUCCAGGAUCUUGGUGAGCUACAGGAAGGUCGAAACGCCCACUUCGAGGCGCAAUUGACCCCUGUUAGCGACCCCACCAUGAAAGUGGAGUGGUACAAGGAUGGAAAACCAAUCACAGCCAGCUCAAGAAUCACUAGCAUCUUCAACUUCGGAUACGUCUCGCUCAAUAUAAUGCACCUACGGGCUGAAGAUGCAGGUUCUUACACAGCAAGGGCUGUGAACCGCUUGGGAGAGGCCAUCAGCUCCGCGACUCUCCGUGUCUUCGCGCGAACAAGCGUAACUACAGACUUGGGUAUCCCCGAGCAACUGAGAUACAUCGAGGCUGCCGAGGAGUUGGAAGCGUAUCAACAGGCCAUGCACCAGAAGUACGUGUAUGAGCAACCUGAACCGAGUAGCCCACCGGAAUUUAAAUCGCCUAUUAAGGAUCAGAGCAGCAUACGAGAGGGCGGCUUUGCUCAUUUCGAGGCGCGCCUCGAACCAGUCGGUGAUGCCGACCUCCGUGUCGAAUGGCUCAAGGAUGGACGACCUGUAGAAGCUAGUUCCCGGAUUACAACCUUCUUUAAUUUCGGCUACGUGGCGUUGACCAUCAAAUACGUAACGAUACACGACGUUGGCGUGUACACCUGCCGAGCCUACAACAGAGCCGGUGAAGCUCAAACCACUGCUCAAUUGAGUGUGAUAAGUAAGAACGAUGUGAUCUAUGACAGUCAGCAUCCGAUGGGCCUGCAGAAAAUCCAGUCCCUCGAAGAUUCCAGCAGGUACACGCGGCAAAUCCAGGAGGAAUCGCAGGUCACGCAGGCACCACGAUUCUUAGGCAAUCUUAAGGGCACUAAUAAGAUCGUGGAAGGCCAAAGAGCACACUUUGAAGCGCGCGUCGAGCCUCAGAGCGAUCUUAGUAUGAAGAUCGAGUGGUACCACAAUGGCAAGCCCAUUACCGCGGCUAAUAGAAUCCAGACAUAUCAUGACUUCGGCUAUGUUUCCAUCGAUAUCCUUCAGGUGCGGCCUGAAGACGCCGGCACGUACACUGUUGUAGCCAGAAAUUCACGCGGAGAAGCUCGUCUGUCUGCCACUAUGGUCGUAGAAACGCGUUCCAGCAUAGACACCAGCAGCAUGCAUCGCGGCACUUACGAGAAGACUCAACGCUUAGAGGAAUCAAAAUUCAUCGAACCGUACUACCAUAUCGAAGAGAUCUCCAAGUCGAAACCUAUUUUCAUCCAGCCGCUGAGCGACCCUAAGCCAGUCAGCGAGGGCAAGAAUAUUCAUUUGGAGUGUCGUUUGGAACCGAUGGGCGAUCCGACGAUGAGAGUCGAAUGGUUCCAAAACGGACGUCCUAUCACGGUUGGCUCCAGAUUUAGGACCUACUACGAUUUCGGAUUCGUCGCACUCGACAUAGUGCACGUUACCGUUUACGAUUCGGGCGAAUAUACGGUCAGAGCCACUAAUCAUCUGGGUACCGCGCACACUUCUGCUUGCGUCCGAGUAAUCGGAAGAUCCGACGUUGUCACCGAAACACAGAACGAGCAAUCGCUCGAGCAGAUCCAGAUGUUGGAGGAUUCAUCGAGAUAUCGCAAGACUCAACAAGAGGAGGUCACUGUGAUGCAAGCGCCUCAGUUCACUCGACCCUUGCACAACAUCGAGACCGUGGAACUGACCAACGUCCAUCUUGAGUGUCGCCUUCAGCCAGUCGGCGACUCGACCAUGAAAGUCGAUUGGUUCGUCAACGGACGUCCUGUGAAGACUGGUCACCGAUUCAGACCGUCUUACGAAUUCGACUACGUAGCACUGGACAUUCUCGGAGUCUAUCCCGAAGAUUCUGGCGUGUACACUUGCCAAGCGAGAAACCAACUCGGCGAGGCAGUCACUUCGUGCUCCGUGAGAGUACACGCGAAGAAGGACUUGCUUCUGGAAUCGCAACAUCCCGAAGGAUUGGAGAGGAUACAAUAUCUCGAGGAUGCUUCGCGAUACAAGAGGCACGAAUUCAUCGACGAAGUCGUCAAUGUGAAGCCGAAAUUCAUCACGAAGCCAAAGAAUCAAGAGAACCUCCGAGAAGGACAACACGCUCACUUUGAGUGCAAACUGGAGCCAGUGACAGAUCCAAAUUUGAAAGUCGAGUGGUUCAAGAACGGUCGUCCAGUAACGAUAGGACACCGAUUCCGUCCGAUUCACGACUUCGGCUACGUUGCGUUAGACGUGAUCGAUCUGAUUGCCGAGGAUUCUGGUACUUACACCUGUCGCGCUGUUAAUCUGAUAGGCAGCGACGAGGUACUUUGUACGUUAUCGUGUCGCUCGACCGCCCAAAUUCUAACGGACACGCAAAACGAGAUUGGGCUCGAGCAGAUCCACUAUCUUGAGGACAGGUCCAAGUACCAAAGACAAGAAGUUAUCGAAGAGACUACUACUCAAGCUCCCAUUUUCACAACUUCGCUGAAUAACGUCGAGAUAAAAGAGGGCCAACGGGCACACUUCGAAUGCCGAUUGAUUCCUGUGUCCGACGCGACUAUGAAAGUCGAGUGGUUCCACAACAACGUGCCGGUGAAGGCGGGCUCAAGAUUCGUCGAGACCAACAGCUUUGGUUUCGUCGCACUCGACAUCAUGUACGCGUAUCCCGAAGACUCGGGAACGUACACCUGCAGAGCCAAGAAUAUCAUCGGCGAAGCUAUCACCUCCGCGACCGCUGUUGUCCACUCCAAGAAAUCAAUCUACACGGAGACACAGAACGAACAGACGCUUCAGCGCCUUCGCACUUUGGAGGACACGUCUCGUUAUCAGCGUAAGACCACAACCGAGGAGAUUGUCACGCAGGCUCCUGUCUUCACGAUGCCGAUCAAGGACCUCCGCGUCGCUGAGAAUCAAGCGGCGCAUUUCGAGGCGCGCGUCAUCCCGGUUGGAGAUCCAAAACUCAAAGUGGAGUGGCUGCGAAAUGGAGUUCCCAUUUCAGCUUCGAAUCGCGUGACAACUAUGCACGACUUUGGAUACGUCGCUUUGAACAUGAAGUACGUUAACCCUGAAGAAUCAGGUACAUACACGUGUCGUGCGACGAACGAGCUCGGAGAGGCGGUUACUUCGGCAACGUUGUUCGUCCAGUCCAAGGCGGCCUUGCAAUUUGAAUCACAACACGAAAGCGCUUUGUCGAAACUCCAAGCCCUAGAGGAUACCUCGAAAUACCAGCGCCGUGAGGAGGAUGAGAUCGUGGUAAAUGAAAAGCCAUCCUUUACGGUCCAACUGAACGGGCCUACCAGCCUAGUCGAGGGUCAAAGCGCACACUAUGAGUGUCGCAUAGAACCCUAUCCCGAUCCCAAUAUGAAGGUGGAGUGGUUCCACAAUGGCAAACCACUGUCCACCGGUCACAGGUAUAGAACCACCUGCGACUUUGGAUUCGCGUCGUUGGAUGUGUUGACCGUAUAUGCCGAGGAUUCGGGCACAUAUACUUGCCAGGCCACCAAUAGAUUGGGAUCGGCCAAGAGCUCGAUUAAUCUUGACGUAAAAUCGCGUGCAUCGAUUAUUCGCGACACGCAACACGAAAGCGCGUUGAAGAAGAUUCAAUACCUCGAGACCGACUCGCGAUAUAAGCGCGUGGCCGUGGAAGACGCCGUCAUCGCUGAGAAACCCGCUUUUGGCCGGCCGCUGAAGAACAUCGAACACUUGCCGGAAGGCAAAAGCGCCCAUCUCGAGGCUACACUGACGCCUGUAAACGAUCCGACCAUGGUCGUCGAAUGGUUCAGAGACGGACGUCCUAUCCCUCAAGGACAUAAAUUCAAAGCUACCUACGACUUUGGAUACGUUGCUCUCGAUAUUCUUUACGCAUAUCCUGAAGACUCUGGCACCUACAUGUGCAAAGCGAGAAACGCCGUGGGCGAGGCCGUUACUACUUGCGUGAUCAGCGUGGACUCGAAGCAAGGCUUGUACCUCGACACGUUGGACGCCCAACGUUUACAGAAAAUCCGCGAACUGGAAACUAUCGAAGUCAAGCAAGACGUCGAGAAAGAGGUUAUUCAUCAGAAACCUGUGUUCUUGACGCCUCUGAACAACCUGGAUCACCUCAAGGAAGGCGAACACGCACAUUUGGAGUGUCGCGUUGAGCCGAUCAACGAUCCAAACUUGAAAAUCGAAUGGUUUGUCAAUGGAGUCGCAAUUAAAACUGGCCAUCGUUUCCGUACUACACACGACUUUGGCUAUGUCGCUCUCGAUAUUCUUUACACCUAUCCCGAAGAUUCCGGCACCUAUAUGUGUAAAGCCACCAAUCUGGCCGGUGAAGCCGUCAACACUUGCACCAUCAAAGUUGGCUCACGUCGAAGCAUUCUCCUGGACACCCAACAUCCGGACGGUCUAGAAAAGAUUCGCGAAUUAGAGGCUCAAGGUCGCCCCGCACGCCUAGAAAUUGAGGAACCACCAGUGACACCGCCGAGAUUCGUCACCGAGCUCAGGGGCACGACGGAGAUAUACGAGGGACAAACCGCUCACUUCGAGUGCCAAGUGGAGCCGCUGCACGACGCCAAUCUGCGAAUCGAGUUCUUCCACAAUGGCAAGCCGUUGCCAUCAGCAGCGCGUUUCCACGUAACCUUCGAUUUUGGAUACGUGGCCUUAGACAUCGGUCAUGCUGUGCCAGAGGACGCAGGGCAGUACUCUGUGCGAGCGAUCAACGCGCUAGGACAAUGUGUGUCAUCCAUCGAGCUCAAAGUGAUCCCGAGAGACAGCAUUAUCCUGGAUUCACAGCGACCGGAGGGAAUGGACAAGAUCAGAGAGCUCGAGGCACAGCAACCGUGGAAGAGACCGGACGUGCCGGAGCCUCAAACUCGACAGCGACCUGUCUUCACGCAACCCCUACAAAACAUCGAUAGCAUCGCCGAAGGUCAUACCGCGCACUUUGAAUGCAGGCUCAUACCCGUGGGCGAUCCUAUGCUCAAGGUGGAGUGGUUCAGAAACGAAGUGCCGCUCGAGACAAGUUCUCGAAUUACAAAGGUGCACGACUUUGGUUACGUCUCCUUGGAUAUCGCUCACGUACGCGACGAAGACGAAGGCGUUUACAUGUGUCGCGCUUCUAAUCCGUUGGGUGAGGCUGUUACCACGGCUUCGAUGAAAAUCAAGAGCAAGGCGAGUAUACAACUCGACACGCAACAUCCGGAAGCGCAACGCAGAAUUGCUCUGCUGGAAGCCGAUAAAGGAGUCGGCCGACCUGAGGAGCCGGAGAAGCUGUUUGAUAAGCCGAUAUUCACGCAAUUACUGACUGGUCCCACCGAGCUUUGGGAAGGACAGAUGGCUAGAUACGAAUGCAGGGUCGUUCCCGUUGGCGAUGCAAGCUUAAGAUUCGAGUGGUAUAUGAACGGAAUAGAAUUGAAAAUGGGUUCACGCUUCCGCGUAAGCCACGACUUUGGCUACGUGACGUUAGACAUACUGAAGGUGAUUCCCGAAGAUUCCGGAGUCUACACUUGCAAAGCGAUCAACAAUGCGGGCGAGGCAGUUUCGUCAAUCUCGCUGAAAGUGAAGGCGCGAUCGGCCAUCGAUUCGGACAGCAUACAGGCGGACGCUUGGCAGAAGAUUCAACUGAAGGAAGCAGAGAUGAAUAAGGUGCCAGAGAUGUUCGUCGAUACGACCCCGCAACAAGCUCCAGUUUUCACCAAGCACUUAGACAGCUACGAUAAGCUGCAGGAAGGCCAACGUGUCUACUUGGAGGCUCAGGUGGAGCCACGAGCAGACCCAAAUUUGAGAGUAGAGUGGUUCAAGAACGGCAUGCCUCUCCAGACUGGAACUAGACUCCGUAGCACGUUCGAUUUCGGUCUGGUAACGUUGUCUAUCAACGGUCUAAGAGCAGACGAUUCCGCGAUCUACACUUGCAAAGCAACCAAUCUUCUGGGAGAAGCUGUAUCAACUUGCAGCCUGAAAAUUGCCGAUCGUCAUUGGCUCUUGGGAGACACUUUGCAUCCAGACGCUUUGCCGAAAAUUGAUGCUCUGGAGCAGUCCCAGGUGAUCUCCACCGAACAAGCGGAGCCCACUUAUGAAGAACCGGUGUUCAUCACUCAUCUCAAUAACGUGGAGUGCAUAGAAGGCGAGAACGCUCACUUCGAAUGCAACGUAGAACCGUCGAAGGACCCGACUAUGAAAAUUGAGUGGUUCCUAAACAGCAAACCUUUGCCGACCGGUGCGAGAUUCAAGUCCACCUACGAUUUUGGCUACGUCGCUCUGGACCUAACUCACGCUUAUGAAGAAGAUUCUGGAGUAGUUACCGUCAAAGCUACCAACUCGAAAGGAUCCGCUCAGACGUCGGGUACUUUGAAGUGCACUAGCAAGCAAAACAUCUAUCUGCAAACGCAACAUCCACAAGGAGAAGCCGGAUUUGAGAAGGUGAAGGAAGCUGAAGAUGCUUAUUUGUCCAAAUAUAGGAGACCGGAAGACGUUCCCGAGCACGAAUAUCCCAAACCAAUCUGGACGGUGCCUCUAUUGCCAGAAUUUAAACUGGGAGAGUCCGAACCGUUACAUCUGGAGGGACAAGUUGAGCCGAAAGAUGAUCCAGAUUUGAAGAUUGACUGGUACUUCAACGGGAAACCCCUGGAACACGGUUCACGCUUCAAGAUGACCAGCGAUUUUGGAUUCGUCACUUUGGAUCUAACGGAUGUUUACGAGCGUGAUUCCGGUAUUUACACUUGCAAGGCUCAUAACCGUGCGGGCGAGGCCUUUACAUCGACAACAGUUUAUUGCUCUACGAAGGAGAAUAUCAUCGAAAAGUCGCAGCAUCCUAAAGGUAAGGAAGGUCUUGAGGCGAUUCAGGACUUGGAAGAGUCUCUGAAACGGCAAGAAGGACUACCACCGGGUGAGGAAGAGGGUCAACCGCCAAUGUUCACGUCGCAAUUCGAGAACCUGACCAAUCUAUCCGAGGGAGAGAUCGCUCACUUCGAAGCGUCCCUCAUUCCUACCGGAGACCAAACCAUGGUGGUCGAAUGGUUCUAUAACGGCAAACCAUUGGAAGCCAGUCAUCGCACGAGAACUGUUUACGCCUUCGGGAUGGUUGUCCUCGAGGUUCUUGGUACUAAAAUCGAGGAUUCCGGCACCUAUACUUGCAGAGCCACCAACAAAUGGGGCAAAGCGGAGAUAAGCGUACAACUGGAAUGUGUCGACAAGUCCAAGGGACAGAAGCCAAAGUUCACCACCCACAUUCAAUCAUUGGACGGCCUGAAAGACGGUCAGUCUGCUCACUUUGAAUGCACCCUGAUCCCGGUGGGCGAUCCUCACAUGAAAGUUGAAUGGUUCCACAACGGCAAGCCCCUGCGACACUCCUCGCGUUUCAAGAUGGUGUCCGACUUUGGAUUCGUCGUUAUGGACAUCGCUGGAGUGAUGGCUCAUGAUACUGGCGAAUACGUUUGCAAAGCUAGCAACAAAUACGGCGAGGACUUCACGAAAGCAACGAUCAGGUGCUUCGGCAAGAGCGGAGUCUACUUGGACUCUUUGCAACCGGACUCGCUCGCCAGAAUCCGAGAACUCGAGAGUUACACCGGAGAUCAAGCGACCACUCCUACGACUCCCGUCGCUGAACCGCCGAAAUUCAUCACCCAGAUUGCCGACAUUACGAAGCUCGUGGAAGGACAGUCCGCGCACUUCGAGGCCAGACUAACUCCGGUGAACGAUCCCGACUUGAAGGUCGAGUGGUAUUACAACGGCAAGAAGCUCCCUCACGGCCAUCGAUACCGCACUUUCCACGACUUUGGCAUCGUCAUCUUGGACAUACUCUAUUGCUACGAAGAGAAUUCUGGAGUUUACGAGUGCAGGGCCGUCAACAAGUACGGCGAGGAUUCUACGAAAGCGACGCUCAAAUGCUUCUCCAAGGCUAACCUCGUGUUGGAAUCACAGCUGCCGAAAGGUAUGGAAGGUGGCCUCGAGAAGAUCCAAAGCCUCGAGGACGCGAUGAUACGUACGAGGGACGAGAAGGUCGUGGAGGAGCGUGGCAAGGCUCCGGUGUUCACUGUGCCGUUGAGCAACAUCGACGGUCUUCGCGAGGGCGAAAGCGCGCAUUUCGAAGCUCGAUUGACACCCACGGACGAUCCGAAAUUAAAGGUCGAGUGGUUCUGGAACGGCAAACCAUUGCGAACGGGAUCUCGUUUCCGCACCUUCUGUGACUUUGGUUUCGUCAUUCUGGAAAUCUCUCCCAUUUAUCCCGAGGAUUCUGGCGAGUACAGUUGCAGAGCAACAAACGACUACGGCGAGGCGGUGACAACAUGCACAAUGAAGUGCACGGGCAAACGCAGCAUUAUCUUGGAAUCCCAGCUGCCCAAAGGCAUGGAGAGCACAAUCGACAAGAUCGCCGAGUUGGAAGGUCUUGGUAGCGUUCCAGGUCAGGCCACUCCUGACGACGAUACCGGAAGACCGCCCGAGUUCAUCACAACUCCUUCGGAUUUGACUUUGGCCGAAAAUUCCCUCGCUCACUUCGAGUGCCGGCUACAGCCGGUCAAUGACUCCAGCAUGAGGGUCGAGUGGUUCCACAAUGGCAAGCCUCUUCUCGCCGGAAGCAGGGUGAAGACGAUUCACGACUUUGGUUUCGUCAUUCUUGAAGUCGCAAAUUGCUAUCAACGCGAUUCUGGCUUGUACACCUGCAAAGCCACCAAUCGUCACGGUGAGGCGACAGUGUCGUGCAAGCUUCAAGUGCGUGGUCGUCAGGGUAUCAUCUUGGAGCCUCAACUACCGAGCAACUUCAGAACCGGCACGGAAAGCAUUCAGAAAUUGGAGGAAUCUUUGUACAAGAAAGACGAGAUCUUGGCUGAGGAGGAGAAACCGAACCCACCCAGAUUCACCGUCGAACUUAAGGACAUCGAAGUCGAGGAGGGUGGACCGACUCACUUUGACUGCAGGGUCGAGCCUGUCAGCGAUUCCACUAUGCGCAUCGAUUGGUUCCACAACGGUCGACCAUUCGCGACCGGCUCUCGAGUUCAUCAGAUCAACGAUUUUGGAUUUAUAUCCUUGGACAUGUCAUACACUUACGCACGGGACAGCGGCGAGUACGUCUGCAGAGCUACCAACAAGUGGGGCUCCGCUACCACCAAAGCCACUAUUACUUGCAAAUCCAAGAAAACGAUAGACUUCGACUCUCAAUUGCCAACGGGAAUGAGCGGCGAGAAAUUAAAGGAACUGGAGCGGGGACCAGUCACCCAAGCUCCCGCGGAAGAAGCACCACGCCAGCCUCCUCAUUUCAUCACGCAAAUCCAAUCAGCGACUGUCGACGAAUCCGAACCAAUCAGGUUUGAAUGCCGGGUAGAGCCCAAGGAGGAUCCGAAUCUGCGCAUCGAAUGGUACAGAAACAGCAAACUGAUACCCGCGGGCCAUAGAUAUAGAACAGUUUACGACAUGGGAUUCGUAUCGAUGGACAUUCUGUACGUGUAUCCCGAAGAUUCGGGCGAAUAUGUCUGCAAAGCCAUCAACGAUCUUGGAGAGGACACCACUCGCGCCUCUGUUUCUUGCAAAAAAUUGCCAAGUAUCAUUCUGCAGAAUCAAGUGCCAAAGGGCAUGAAGAAAUCCGAAGCCUUGAUGCAGAUGGAAGCGACGAUCAAGAAGUACACUUCGGAGGUUCAUUUGACCGAGGACGAUCUGUACGACGCGGAUAAGAAGCAACCGCCUCGUUUCGUCACGCAGAUUCAAGAUCAGACUGAUCUGGUUGAAAUGAAUAGCACCAAGUUCGAGUGCCAAUUGGCGCCCGUGGGCGAUCCAAAUAUGAAAGUCGAAUGGUUCUUCAACGGCAAACCGUUGCCCCAUAAGAAUCGAUUCACACCUAUCUACGACUUUGGUUACGUAGCGAUGAACUUUGGUUGGGUCUAUCCGGAAGACAGCGGCGAGUAUCUAUGCAGAGCUACGAAUCUUUACGGUAUGGACGAGACGCGAGCCAUCAUCAGGACUGCCGGGAAACCAGGAAUUAUCUACGAAUCUCAACUCCCGAAAGGCAUGAAGAGUAUCGAGAAAAUACGAGAAAUGGAAGCAGCAUGGCAAAUUGUUCCGGAAGAGGAAGGCGAGGAAGAAAAGGUGCGCUCGGCACCAGUCUUUGUGAGCAAACCGGAACCAGUGACUGUCGAGGAAGGUGACUGGUCCAGGUUCUGUUGUCGUGUCACCGGACACCCAAGACCUCGAGUCAUGUGGAUAAUCAAUGGACACACAGUAGUCAACGGAUCUCGCUAUAAACUGACGUACGACGGAAUGUAUCAUCUGGAUAUUCCAAAAACCAGACAAUAUGAUCAUGGAAAGGUAGAAGUGGUCGCGCGGAGCUCUGUCGGUGAAGCGCGCACAGAAACAACAUUGACGGUCAAGCAACGAAGUGACGAUUACCGUGGUGUAUUGAAAAAUUCGCCAAGACCGUGGUACGAUUAUGGGCUAACACAGUACCAAACCGAGCGACAGAACACAGAGCUCGAGCGCGUGUUCGACGAACGUCACCAGAGCGUUUCCCAAGGCAUUGAGAUCGCCACGGAGCAUCUCGGGCCAAAGGUGAUCAAAGAACCCGAGACUGACUGGCAGAAAUCCGUCAAGAGCAAGAAAAAUGAAGACUACUACAGCAAGCUGAUGAAUCUCGAGGAAGAACAGAUGCUGAAAGAGUCCAGGUUGAGAGAAGCCUCUCAUCAGUUCGCCAUUCCUGGCGACAAGCUCGUCUCUAAUUCCUUGGCAAAGGGGAUGGCCCAGAAGUACGAGGAGAGUUUGGAUGAGCAACCCCAACCAACAGCGCAGGCAUCACCACCACCACCACCACCACCACCAAAAUACGUGAAGAAACCAUUCAUUACCGAGGUGGACAUCGAUACGGAACGCGUGAAAGCCACGGGGAAAUACCCACCGGAACCGUCGGAAUCCACAGUUCAUGGCCGCGAAGUUCACGUAGCCAAGCAGAAGCAGACUCAGAAAGAGGUCAAGGGCGAUGUGGAGAUAACGAGGAAGAUCACAGCCACAGAGACCACGGAGGUCGAGCACAAAGGGAAGACGCAGGAACGUGUGGUUCAGGGCCAGGUAAAACCGGCGAAACCGCCCGUGUUCACGAAGAAGAUUCAGCCCUGCAGAGCAUUCGAGCAGGAGCAGGCUAAAUUCGAGGUCGAAUUCGACGGAGAUCCAUUGCCGACCAUCAAAUGGUACCGCGAGGAUUUCCCGAUCCAAAAUUCGGCCGACCUGCAAAUCUACACCUUCAGCACGAAAUCCGUGUUGAUCGUCCGGCAAGUCUUUAUGGAAGACUCCGGCGUCUUCUCCGUUAUCGCUGAGAACAGGGGUGGAAAGGCCAAAUGCAGCGCCAACUUGGUCGUGGAGGAGCGCAGAAGGCAACCUGGACGAGGAGGCGCCAUACCACCCAGUUUCUUAUCGACAAUCCAAUCUACCUCGUUAGCUACCGGUCAGCUGGCUAGAUUCGACGCCAAGAUCACUGGCACCAAACCCUUGGACGUUUAUUGGCUCAAGAAUGGCAAGAAAGUAACGGCGGAUAUCCGUUACAAGACUUUGGAAGAAGACAAUACGUACACCCUACUGAUACUGGAGACGAUACCGGAGGACACCGGCAAAUACGAGUGCGUCGCGAUCAACAGUGCUGGUGAAGCGCGCUGCGAAGCGGAAUGCACCGUUCGCGGGCCUCAAUCCCCGGCGAAGACCGCAAAACCCACGACGCCGACAGCGGAGAAAGCGCCAACCGUGUUGGAGCCAUUGAGGGAUCAAACUAUCAAGGAGGGAACUUCAGUCGCCUUUGCCUGCAGGAUCGCAGGGAAGCCGGUUCCCACUGUACAAUGGAAGAAGGCCGACAAGGUGAUCAAGCCGUCCAAGUACUUCCAAAUGCAGAAGGAAGGCGACCUGUGCACUCUGAAGAUCUCCGAGGCGUUCCCCGAGGACGAAGGUGUCUACAAAUGUAUCGCUAAGAACCCCGCCGGUGAGGUCACCACGUCCGCCAACCUCAGAGUUCUCGCACCCGACACGGCCGACGUGCUGCCGAAAUUGACACCACUGAAGGACCAGAUCGUCAUGGAAGGUCAGCCGGCGCAAUUCAAGACCCAAGUGAGCCCGGCGAAACCCAAACCGACGAUCCAAUGGUACCGCGAAGGCGCCUUGAUCCCGCAAUCGCCGGACUUCCAGAUGAUUCACGAAGGCAACAACGCGGUGCUACUCAUAGCAACCACCUACGAGGAGGACACCGGCACCUUCACCUGCCGCGCUACAACUUCGGCCGGUACCGUAGAAACGUCCGCCAAACUCAUCGUCAAAAAGAGAACAGAAGUCCGCUACGCGGUUCCCGCGGAAACUGGUGCCGACACCGAAUUGGAUGGGGAAUUUGGUCCGAAGUUGAAAAAGGGUAUCGUGUUGAAACCCUUGAGUCACGAUGUAGAUGGUUUACCUGUUGAAGUACAGCUUCAACCAGGCGACGAGUCACUACCUUGGCGGAAGGGACGAGUUCAGCAUCGAUCUCGAGUCGGCGAUUCGGCACCAUGGAGAAAGGUGAAACCGAAAUCAAGAGAUUCCUCCUUGGACAAACUCCGAGCCUUCGAGAGUCAGAUAAAACCAUGGACGGAGGAAGAAGUGGUUUUGAAGAAAACUCCACAGGUCGUCAAAGACGUGGCGAAAGAAAAGCUGGAAGAAGUCGAGUUGAAACCAGCAAAGAUCGAGAAGAAAGAAAUCCUAGCACCUGGUCUCGAAACCGUCAAGUUGAAAUCCGUACCCAAAGAUACGACAAAGAUUGUCGAGACUGAGGAAAAGAUCGUACGUGAAGAUGAUACCGCAACUCAACUUUACACAGAGGAAUCGGAUACCACUUUGUUGAAAAGAUCACGUCGUGUGGAUGAAACUUUGUUGAAAAAGGAAAAAGCCGAAGAAGUAAGACCAUGGACGGAGGAGCAAGUAGCCUUGAAGAAAACUCCACAGGUCGUCAGAGAAGUGGCGAAAGAAAAACUGGAGGAAGUCGAGUUGAAGCCGGCAAAGAUCGAAAAGAAAGAAGUCCAAGCACCUGGUCUCGAAACCGUCAAGUUGAAAUCCGUACCCAAAGAUACGACAAAGAUUGUCGAGACCGAGGAAAAGAUCAUACGUGAAGAUGAUACCGCAACUCAACUUUACACGGAGGAAUCGGAUACCACUUUGUUGAAAAGAUCGCGUCGUGUGGAUGAAACUUUGUUGAAAAAGGAAAAAGCCGAAGAGGUAAGACCAUGGACGGAGGAGCAAGUAGCCUUGAAGAAAACUCCACAGGUCGUUAGAGAAGUGGCGAAAGAAAAACUGGAGGAAGUCGAGUUGAAGCCGGCAAAGAUCGAAAAGAAAGAAGUCCAAGUACCUGGUCUCGAAACCGUCAAGUUGAAAUCCGUAUCCAAAGAUAUGACAAAGAUUGUCGAGACCGAGGAAAAGAUCGUACGUGAAGAUGAUACCGCAACUCAACUUUACACGGAGGAAUCGGAUACCACUUUGUUGAAAAGAUCGCGUCGUGUAGAUGAAACUUUGUUGAAAAAAGAAAAAGCCGAAGAAGUAAGACCAUGGACGGAGGAGCAAGUAGCUUUGAAGAAAACAAAACCAAAAACGACAAAAAUUGCAGAAAUAGAUAGUAUAGAAAAGACAGACUACGUCGAACAGGAAGACACUUCUCUGCUCACUAUUACGAAGGACGAAGAAAUGCGAAAGAUAAAGAAAGAACAGUUUGUUCCAGAGAAACCAGAGCAGCCUAAACCAUGGACAGAGGAGAAGAUCGCCUUGAAAAAGGCGAAACCGGAGAGAAAAGAGACACCUAAGGAAACAUUAGAGACUGUCUCGUUGAAACCUUCGAAGAUAGUACGAAAAGACAUCGCAAAGCCAACUUUGCAGAAGAUAGAUCUCAAACCAGUUCCGAUCGAAGGACCCGAAAUCAUUCCAGUGGAAGAAGUUUCACGGGUUGACGUCACUACGGUCAAAGAAACGACAAUGGAAAGCAAAGAGAUAGACAAGAUAAUUAUAGAUCAGACGGAUAAGACCAAACCGUGGACAGAGGAGAAGAUUACUUUGAAGAAAUCCAAGCCUGUCCGGAGAGAAGUAGAGAGAGAGAUAAUAGAAACGGUAGAAUUAAAACCAUCUAAACCAACGAAAUUGGAAAUCCGAAAGCCGAGUUUAGAGAGGGUAGAUUUAAAACCAUUCACAAAAGAAAAGAAGGAUACAAGUGUUACAGAAACCACCGAGAAAGCCGAUUAUAUUGAACAAGAAGAUACCACAUUACUUCAAGUUUCGAGAACUGAGAAAGAAGUAACCUUGCCAAAGGCAACGCGCGAAAUCAAAGACACGGCACCGUAUGCUGAAGAAGAAGACACCUCUUUGCUUAAAAUUACAUCCGAACGAGAAACCACGAUUAAAGUCGACAAGAAACCAAAGAAGGAAGAGGAAGUUCCAGAAAAAACGCCACAGGCUAAACCAUGGACGGAAGAAAAAGUGAUGUUAAAGAGAACCAAACCGGAACAGAAAGAAAUACAUAAAGAAACUCUGGAGGAAGUUUCACUGAAGCCGAUGCAGAGAGUAGAAAAGAUAGUAUCAAAGGAAGAAGUUGAAAAGGUAGAUUUGAAACGUGUAAAAAAGACGGAAGAGAUUGAAGAGAAGGAAAGUACUGUUGUAAAACGUGACGUUAAAAAGCCGCAAGAAAAAGCACCGUAUCAUGAAGAAGAGGAUAAGGCUAUUCUCGAAAUAAGUAAAGAUGUGGAAUCUAUUAAGAAAAAGACGUUGGAGAAAACUAUUCGACCAAAAGAUGAGAAACAACCAUACACGGAAGAGGAAGAUAAAACGAUUCUCGCAGUCGACAGAACCGACGAAACAACUGAAAAACUUAUAAAAGAGGAAGUACCUGUACCGUGGAUAAGAGGAAGGAAAGCGAAAGAAAAGAAACAAGCCGAGGAAAAGCCAGAAGAGGCGCUUCCGAUAUUCAAGAUUCCUUCUGAAGAUAAACCACGGAAGAUAAUUGAACUGAAGGAAGAACCAAUCGAAGAUAUACGGGCAGUAACGCUGAAACCAGUAAAACGCCCAGAACGAACUCAAGAAGUCAUCGAACAGGAGAAAGUUGAAUUAAAGCCGGUACCACGUGUACCAAAGGUAGAAAAAGAGAAAGAAGAGAUUACACUAAAACCUAUUCCGAAGCCAAAAGUUGAGGAAAGAGAAACAAAGUUGGAGCCGUCACUAGUAAGUAAACCUGGAGAGAAACCAGAAGAGGAUAAGCCCUCGGAGGUUUCGGAAGCUCCUUGGCGUCGUAAAUCAAAGCCUGUAAAAAUCCAACAAAAAGAAGAAGCGCCAGAAGAGAAAGUUGAGGAACGAGUAGAAUUACCUUGGAAACGCGGAAAGAAACCAGCUGUUGUUAAACCAGAAAAACCAGAGGAAGAAGUAAAAGAAGACAUCAAGGAAAUAUCCGAAGUAGCAUGGCGUAAACCAAAGAAAGAUAAAAUGAUCAAAGUUGUUAAGGAAGAACCACAGGUCGAAGACAUUACGUCCGUCGUGUUAAAACCGACAAAACGGCUAGAAAAGCCGGAAGAAAAGAAAACGACGGAAGAGAUUAUACUUAAACCAGUAAAACGAUUACCUAAAGAAAUAGAAGAACGCGAACAAAUCACUUUAAAACCAUUUACGAAGGAAAAAGAAGUAGAAACAUUAAAACCUGAGAAAAUCAGUGAAAUUACUAAUGGGGAAGUACCUAGUGAAAAAGUAGAAUUACCAUGGCGACGUGGUAAAAAAUUAGAGCAAAAAAUACUACAGGAGAUUGAGAAACCUAAAGUCGAAGAAAUAACACCUGAGCCGGUUAAAAAAAUAGGAAAGCCAGAAAAACCGGAAGAGAAACCUGAAAUAGUACAGCUGAAACCAGUGAAGAGGAGAGAGAAACCUGAAGAGCCGAAACCUGAAGAAGUAAUCCUCAAACCUGUGAAGCGGCUUCCCAAAGAGGAGGAAACGAAGGAAGAAAUCUCUUUGAAACCUGUGGAAAGAAAGAAACCAGAAGAGAAACCUGAGGCAGUUCAGCUGAAACCAGUGAAGAGGAGAGAAAAACCGGAAGAACCGAAACCUGAAGAAGUAAUCCUCAAACCUGUGAAACGGCUUCCCAAAGAGGAAGAAACAAAGGAAGAAAUCUCUUUGAAACCUGUGGAAAGAAAGAAACCAGAAGAGAAACCUGAGGCAGUUGAGUUGAAACCAGUAAAGAGGAGAGAGAAACCGGAAGAACCGAAACCUGAAGAAGUAAUCCUCAAACCUGUGAAACGGCUUCCCAAAGAGGAAGAAACAAAGGAAGAAAUCUCUUUGAAACCUGUGGAAAGAAAGAAACCAGAAGAGAAACCUGAGGCAGUUGAGUUGAAACCAGUAAAGAGGAGAGAGAAACCGGAAGAACCGAAACCUGAAGAAGUAAUCCUCAAACCUGUGAAACGGUUUCCCAAAGAGGAAGAAACAAAGGAAGAAAUUUCUUUGAAACCUGUGGAAAGAAAGAAACCAGAGGAGAAACCUGAGGCAGUUGAGUUGAAACCAGUAAAGAGGAGAGAGAAACCAGAAGAACCGAAACCUGAAGAAGUAAUCCUCAAACCUGUGAAACGGCUUCCCAAAGAGGAAGAAUCAAAGGAAGAAAUUUCUUUGAAACCUGUGGAAAGAAAGAAACCAGAAGAGAAACCUGAGGCAGUUCAGUUGAAACCAGUGAAGAGGAGAGAGAAACCAGAAGAACCGAAACCAGAAGAAAUAAUCCUCAAGCCUGUGAAGCGGCUUCCCAUGGAGGAAGAAACAAAGGAAGAAAUUUCUUUGAAACCUGUGGAAAGAAAGAAACCAGAGGAGAAACCUGAGGCAGUUGAGCUGAAACCAGUAAAGAGGAAAGAGAAACCGGAAGAACCGAAACCUGAAGAAGUAAUCCUCAAACCUGUGAAACGGCUUCCCAAAAAGGAAGAAUCAAAGGAAGAAAUUUCUUUGAAACCUGUGGAAAGAAAGAAACCAGAAGAGAAACCUGAGGCAGUUCAGUUGAAACCAGUGAAGAGGAGAGAGAAACCAGAAGAACCGAAACCAGAAGAAGUAAUCCUCAAACCUGUGAAACGGCUUCCCAAAGAGGAAGAAACAAAGGAAGAAAUCUCUUUGAAACCUGUGGAAAGAAAGAAACCAGAAGAGAAACCUGAGGCAGUUGAGUUGAAACCAGUAAAGAGGAGAGAGAAACCGGAAGAACCGAAACCUGAAGAAGUAAUCCUCAAACCUGUGAAACGGCUUCCCAAAAAGGAAGAAUCAAAGGAAGAAAUUUCUUUGAAACCUGUGGAAAGAAAGAAACCAGAAGAGAAACCUGAAGCAGUUCAGCUGAAACCGGUGAAAAUAGAAAAGCCUGAAGAAGAGAAGCCCGCGGAAAUAUCAGGAAUGCCCUGGCGCCGUGGUAAACGAGUCAAAAAGGUUGUCGAUUUCAAAGAUGAAGUUACCGUAGUACCUAUCGAUCAAGAAGAAUCGGUCACAGAAGUUUCCGAAGAGAAAGAAACAAUGAUAAUUGCAACUAAUGAUAUUCAGGAACAAAUCGAAAAGAAAGUGGAACCUAUUCAACUUCAAGAAGAAAAACGUGUAACGGAAGAAGUGGUGGAAACGACUGAAGUUUCGUGGAGGAAGAAAAAGCCAAAACCAAUAAAAUUAGAAGAGAAAAAAGAAACUGUUGUAUUGAAGCCUGUUGAAAAAGUACAGAAAUUGGAACCAAAGAAACAACCCGAAGAACAUGUACCGACUGUAAUUAAAGAGGAAAUAGUAACCGAAGUAGUUGAAAAGGAUGUAAUUCAACUGAAACCGGUUCCCAAGGAAGUCGAGGAAAAAGAAGUAAUAGAGGAAGUUAAAUUAAAGCCGGUGAUUAAAGAAGAAAUUACAAAAGAAAGACCAAAGGAGGAGAAAAUCGAGUUGAAACCUGUAAAAUUGGAGGAACAAAUAACGAAAGUGAAAGAAGAUGAGAUCGUUACUAAAGUAACUGAAAUAAAGAAGAAGCGAGAGGAGAUUGUCCCUAUUAUUGAAGAAAAACAAAAAAUUGUCACAGAAAUAGAAGAAAUUAAAGAGAUCGAAGACAUCGAAUUGCAAGUUAAAAAAGAUAUCGCGCAAAUGGAAGAUCGUAAGAGAAAACGCAGACAACGUACUCAAGUUGAUAUUUCCAUUAUGGAUAAAGAUAAAACUGUUGCUCCGCGAUUUAUACAAAAAUUACAACCUGUUAUCGCUGAACUAGAAAGUCCCGCCAAGUUUACGUGCACCGUCAUAGGUAAACCAACCCCCGAAAUUUCUUGGUAUAAAAAUGAACAAGAACUCCAUGCGAGUGAGAAGUAUACAAUGACAAUAUAUGAGACAACGGCAGCUUUGGAAAUUACAAAAGUAAAAGAAGAAGACGCUGGACUAUAUUCUUGCAGAGCUUCCAAUCCAGCUGGGGUGGCAACAUCCACUGUCAAUCUCGUGAUAUUCGAAAAAGAAGAAGAAGGAGUAGCACCGCAUUUCCCAACGCCAAUCAAGCCGCUGGUGGUUGAAGAACACAAGCCUGCUUUAUUGGAGUGCGUUGUGACCGGCACUCCGAUGCCAGAAGUGAAGUGGUAUCGUGGUGAGAAAGAGGUGAAACCGAACGAAAGGACCGAGCUAACAUUCAACCCGACGACCGGAGAAGCCAAACUUCAGAUUCUGGAACCAACUCCCGAAGACGAAACAGUCUAUCGCGUUCGCGCCGUGAAUAAAUUCGGCCGUGCCGAGUGUAGAGCUAAUCUGGUGAUCAGUAAUAUCGUGAGAGUCAGCAAACCUGUCGUCCUCAGAGCACCGCGAAUCACGCGACCUUUGCCCGCUCUCGUAGCGGAACGCGGAAAACCUCUGAAGCUGUCGGCUGACUUUGACGGUGUACCCAAGCCAGACGUCAAGUGGUUCCGCAAUGGCGUUGAAAUUACACCGACCGACAAGCGCAAGAUAAACAUCUACGAAAGCACAGCCGAGCUUCUUGUGUCGGACCUGACAAAGAAGGACGGCGGCAAGUACGAGAUCAGAGUGCAGAACGAAGCCGGCGAAGCGAGAAGUUCGAGCUCCGUUACCGUAACGGAACGUGAGGAUACUACGAGCGAGGUAAAAGCACCGAGAUUCGUGGAACCGAUUCAGCCUCAACUCGUCGCGGAAGGAGAAGUCGUCAUCAUGGAGACAAAAGUGGAGUCUUAUCCGGCGGCUUCCUUCCAAUGGUUCCACGAAAGCAAACCUCUCGAGUCAACGCCACAGGUAAGGAUCGUGACCCAAGAGAACAGAUCGAUCUUGAUGGUGAAGCAAGUCACACCAGAACUCGCCGGCACCUACACCUGCCGUGCCGAGAAUGUCGGCGGCUCUGUCACCUGCACGGCUAGCGUGAACAUUACGGAGAUCAAGUGGGAAGAAGCGGUUGAAUUAGUUUCGCCGACGUUUGUCAAGAGGCUCUCGCCUGUAAGAGUUAUGGACGGCGAAAGCGUGAAUUUAACCUGCGUUGUCGAAGGGAAACCGACGCCCAGAGUCGAGUGGUAUCACAACGACAGACCGAUCAAUGAAGGCAAGGAAAUCACAAUUAUCCAAGAUACGGAGGGUGUCUGCAGCCUAGCUAUCACCGAGGUAUUCCCGGAGGAUGCUGGAGAGUACACAUGCCGCGCUGUGAAUCCCGUUGGCGAGGCAGUGUGCAAGUCAUCGCUUGUCGUUGAAGCCUACGAGUACGUGCCAGACUCGGAGAUUGCGUCAUCGAUAGUUGCGACAUCCCUUACCACAGGCUCCGAGGAAGAUCUCCUGUCACCGAAAGAAACCCCUAUCUUUGACACUGACGUGGAAGAAUUCGCACCAGAAAUAACCAAAAAGCUUCCUCAGUUAGUUCCCACCAAAGACGGGGAAUUAACCAGAUUGGAAGUGAAGGUGAAAGGUAAACCAAAACCAGAGGGAAAAUGGUACAAGCAAGGCGUGGAGAUUGUCUCAUCGCAAGAAUUCCAAAUAGAGGAAUUCGAAGAUGGUACGUCAGUGUUGACGAUCGCCGAAACUUACCCCGACGACACAGGGGAAAUCGUAUUCGAAGCUCACAACCCACUCGGGGUAUCAACUACGACGGCAUAUUUAUCAGUAGAAGGUAUACUUGGAACGAAAGAGUAUCGCAAACCACAAUGGGUCACGCAGAUGGAAGAAAUGCAAGAAGCGCUAAGAGCCACGCAAGCUAUCCCGCGAUUUGUCCAAGAGAUAACGGACGUUUACGUGAAGGAAGGAGAAACCGCUAUAUUUGAAUGCGUCUACUCUGGUACCCCCAAACCAGAUAUUAUUUGGUACAAGAACGAUAAGAUCCUAAUGAACACGGAGAAUGUGAAGAUACGUAUAUUCGAGGAAGAGAAGAGAACCACUCUGACGAUCAAACGGACUACCAGAGAAGAUGACGCUACGUAUGUUUGCAAAGCAACCAGCGAUAUCGGCAUGACACUGACAAAGGCCAAACUGCGCGUUGAUACUAUAAGCGAAAGGGGGCCGGAGGAGGUGAUCGAAGAGGAAGAGAAGGUUGAGAUAAAACUGAAGAAGCAAGAGGAGAAACCGCAUAGAAGGAAGAGAGCCGAAAUCAAGAAAGCGAAAGAAACUAAAGAGAAAGUAAAGGUCGAACGCGUCAAGGUGGAGACGGAAGAAAUUCAUGAGGAGAAGCUCAUACCGAAAGAACAGAUAGAAGAAAAGAGAAUCGUCGACGUCGAAGAGACGCAACUUCUGGAAACCGCUGAAAUCAUAAAGAAGAAAGCAGAGGAGGUUUCGAAAGCACGAAAAAUAGUGCCGAUUCAGGAACCGGUUAUAACGGAAGCAACAGCUUCCCUGAAGAAAAUUGACGAUCGAAAGCCGCGAGAGAUAUCCAAGGUCGAAGAACGCGCCAAACCAAUUAUUGAGGAACGCGAAAGCGUAGUCGUCGUGUCGGAGAUCACGAGCGAAGACACCGCUCCUGACUUCACCGUCGAGACGAAGCUCGAUCGCGCUCAGGUCACCUCAGAGACCCUACAGAAGGUUUCGGUCGUUGAGACACAUGUCGAGACCAGUGCGCAAGAAACAAGACGCAUUGAGGUGAAACAGAAGAAAGCGAAGAAAGUGAGAACGGAGAAGGUCCAAGAGGACAUCACCGUAAAGGAGAUCGUGGAGCGACAGAAGGAGCAUAUAGCUCGGGAAGUCGACGAAAUUAUGGAACUGUUGGACGUGAAAGAAUUCGGACCGGGAGAAUCUCCUCUUCGGGAACUCGCGACGAUUGGCUACUUGGUGCGACAAGGCGUUUCCGUGAAUGAGAUCAACGAGUGCCUUUAUAGGACUGAGAUCUUCCCCGCUCUGAAAACACCCGAUGCUCAAAACGCUUUGGUACAGUUGGUGGAGAGAAAAGGCCAUGGCCCGCUAAUCAGCCAAGUGCUCACCGAGGAAACAACGACUGACGAGAGCUUCGUCGCGGCGACGGUCGGUUUCCGCGCUUUUAUGAGAAUGGUAGAGCUUCAACACGCUACUGUAGAAGAAGUCAUCACGCACUUUGCUCCGGAAGACUUCAGACCACGUGCUUGGGAAGUUACAGAAAUUUCAGAGGUCGAAACUGAGCAACACGCUACGGAAAGAGUGGGCAUUAUUCGCGAAACGAAAGUUCAUUUCAUGGAUGCAUGAAGCUUUACUUGAUCGAAUAAUAGCAGUGAGAUUUUUCUGCUUACGCCGCUAUGCUUUCUACGCGCGACAAAAAUCUCAUCCCAUUCAUCCCGUCAUACAAUAUUCCCCUUCGUCAUAUUUUAAUUACCCUAUGAGUUCUACUUUGCGUAUCAGCUUCGGAAAUCAACGCUUCGCGACUCGAUGCUCGUUCGCGCUACGCCAAAUCUCAUUCGAAAUGAACAAAGAAGAAGCCAAUGUAUCAGG